AACCUAUGGACGGGGAUAACCUCGGGAAACUGAGAACAUACCCGAUAGAUCAUCAUGCCUGGAAUGGCCGAUGGUUGAAAUGAUUUAUCGCCAUAGGAUGGGACUGCGAUCUAUCAGCUUGUUGGUGAGGUAAUGGCCCACCAAGGCUAUAACAGAUACGGGCUCUGAGAGGAGAAGCCCGGAGAUGGGUACUGAGACACGGACCCAGGCCCUAUGGGGCGCAGCAGGCGAGAAAACUUUGCAAUGUGCGAAAGCACGACAAGGUUAAUCCGAGUGGUUCCUGCUAAAGGAACCUUUUGCCGGUCCUAAAAACACCGGUGAAUAAGGGGUGGGCAAGUUCUGGUGUCAGCCGCCGCGGUAAAACCAGCACCUCAAGUGGUCAGGAGGAUUAUUGGGCCUAAAGCAUCCGUAGCCGGCUGUGUAAGUUUUCGGUUAAAUCCAUGCGCUCAACGUAUGGGCUGCCGGGAAUACUGCACAGCUAGGGAGUGGGAGAGGUAGACGGUACUCGGUAGGGAGGGGUAAAAUCCACUGAUCUAUCGAUGACCACCUGUGGCGAAGGCGGUCUACUAGAACACGUCCGACGGUGAGGGAUGAAAGCUGGGGG
rnacentral:rRNA from 1 species